rnacentral:rRNA from 1 species
AGGGCGCACGGUGGAUGCCUUGGCACUAGGAGCCGACGAAGGACGUGACAAACGACGAUAUGCCUUGGGUAGCUGUAAGUAAGCGAUGAUCCAGGGAUUUCCGAAUGGGGGAACCCAACAGGUAAUACCUGUUACCCACAUCUGUUAAGGAUGUGAGGAGGAAGACGCAGUGAACUGAAACAUCUAAGUAGCUGCAGGAAGAGAAAGCAAAAGCGAUUGCCUUAGUAGCGGCGAGCGAAACGGCAGAAGGGCAAACCGAAGAGUUUACUCUUCGGGGUUGUAGGACUGCAAUGUGGACUCAAAGAUUAUAGAAGAAUGAUUUGGGAAGAUCAGCCAAAGAGAGUAAUAGCCUCGUAUUUAAAAUAGUCUUUGUACCUAGCAGUAUCCUGAGUACGGCGGGACACGUGAAAUCCCGUCGGAAUCUGGGAGGACCAUCUCCCAACCCUAAAUACUCCCUAGUGACCGAUAGUGAACCAGUACCGUGAGGGAAAGGUGAAAAGCACCCCGGGAGGGGAGUGAAAUAGAACCUGAAACCGUGUGCCUACAACAAGUUCGAGCCCGUUAAUGGGUGAGAGCGUGCCUUUUGUAGAAUGAACCGGCGAGUUACGUUAUGAUGCGAGGUUAAGUUGAAGAGACGGAGCCGUAGGGAAACCGAGUCUGAAUAGGGCGCCUUAGUAUCAUGACGUAGACCCGAAACCAUGUGACCUACCCAUGAGCAGGUUGAAGGUGCGGUAAGACGCACUGGAGGACCGAACCAGGGCACGUUGAAAAGUGCUUGGAUGACUUGUGGGUAGCGGAGAAAUUCCAAACGAACUUGGAGAUAGCUGGUUCUCUCCGAAAUAGCUUUAGGGCUAGCGUCGACAUUAGAGAUUCUUGGAGGUAGAGCACUGUUUGGGUGAGGGGUCCAUCCCGGAUUACCAAUCUCAGAUAAACUCCGAAUGCCAAUGAAUUAUGGUCGGCAGUCAGACUGCGAGUGCUAAGAUCCGUAGUCGAAAGGGAAACAGCCCAGACCACCAGCUAAGGUCCCAAAAUAAUUGUUAAGUGGAAAAGGAUGUGGGGUUGCACAGACAACUAGGAUGUUAGCUUAGAAGCAGCUAUUCAUUCAAAGAGUGCGUAAUAGCUCACUAGUCGAGUGACCCUGCGCCGAAAAUGUACCGGGGCUAAAACAAUUUACCGAAGCUGUGGAUACCUUUAUAGGUAUGGUAGGAGAGCGUUCUAUGUGUGAUGAAGGUAUACCGUGAGGAGUGCUGGAACGCAUAGAAGUGAGAAUGCCGGUAUGAGUAGCGAAAGACAGGUGAGAAUCCUGUCCACCGUAAGACUAAGGUUUCCAGGGGAAGGCUCGUCCGCCCUGGGUUAGUCGGGACCUAAGGAGAGACCGAAAGGUGUAUCCGAUGGACAACAGGUUGAUAUUCCUGUACUAGAGUAUGUAGUGAUGGAGGGACGCAGUAGGCUAACUAAAGCAGACGAUUGGAAGAGUCUGUCUAAGCAGUGAGGUGUGAAUUGAGUCAAAUGCUUAAUUCUAUAACAUUGAGCUGUGAUGGGGAGCGAAGUUUAGUAGCGAAGUUAGUGACGUCACACUGCCAAGAAAAGCUUCUAGCGUUUAAACAUACUCUACCCGUACCGCAAACCGACACAGGUAGUCGAGGCGAGUAGCCUCAGGUGAGCGAGAGAACUCUCGUUAAGGAACUCGGCAAAAUGACCCCGUAACUUCGGGAGAAGGGGUGCUGACUUAAAGUCAGCCGCAGUGAAUAGGCCCAAGCAACUGUUUAUCAAAAACACAGCUCUCUGCUAAAUCGUAAGAUGAUGUAUAGGGGGUGACGCCUGCCCGGUGCUGGAAGGUUAAGAGGAGUGCUUAGCGUAAGCGAAGGUAUGAAUUGAAGCCCCAGUAAACGGCGGCCGUAACUAUAACGGUCCUAAGGUAGCGAAAUUCCUUGUCGGGUAAGUUCCGACCCGCACGAAAGGCGUAAUGAUUUGGGCACUGUCUCAACGAGAGACUCGGUGAAAUUUUAGUACCUGUGAAGAUGCAGGUUACCCGCGACAGGACGGAAAGACCCCAUGGAGCUUUACUGCAGUUUGAUAUUGAGUGUCUGUACCACAUGUACAGGAUAGGUAGGAGUCUAAGAGAUCGGGACGCCAGUUUCGAAGGAGACGCUGUUGGGAUACUACCCUUGUGUUAUGGCCACUCUAACCCAGAUAGGUGAUCCCUAUCGGAGACAGUGUCUGACGGGCAGUUUGACUGGGGCGGUCGCCUCCUAAAAGGUAACGGAGGCGCCCAAAGGUUCCCUCAGAAUGGUUGGAAAUCAUUCGCA